AUAUGGUACUCAUGAUAAUGAGUUGCAUCAGUUACAUCAAACAUUUCAAUCAAUUGUAGUCCAUCUACUCAGUGACAAUGAUUCAAAUGUUAAGAGGGCAUUCCUAACCCACAGUGCUGAGAAGUUGUGCACUUUCUUUGGAGCUCAAAAAGGUAAGACUAUCACUUAAAAAUAAGUAUGACAAUCUACAAAAAUUUUGCCCUUCAAUCCCCAGCUAAAGAUGUUAUACUAUCUCAUAUGAUCACAUUUUUGAGUGACAAAGUAAUUGGGAGCUCCAUAUAGCAUUUUUUGAGGCAAUUAUUGAUGUGGUUAGUCAAAUUGGUGAGAGAAGUUUAGACGUUCUUGAGGCUUUAUUGCAACAGGGUUUAAGUGAUCCAGAAGAGGCAGUGAUAUGUGAAGCUAUCUCCUCCAUGACAGUAUUGUGUAUCAAUGGGCUCUUUAACUUAAGAUUCCUCAUAUCAUCACUACAACAAAUAGUACCUUUCAUAGCUCACCCUAAUAUUUGGGCCAGAUAUGGUUCAGUUGGUUUCAUAAUGGCAGCUGCUAGUCAGUUGGAUGAUAUUGAUGCUCUGUGUUACAUUGCUCCAGUAGUGCAGCCAUUCCUUAAGUAUAACAACAUACUAGAACUGGAUAAUAAGUUGGUAUUAUUAAAUGCUAUUAGUGAUCCAAUACCACGCAGUGUCUUAGACUAUGUCAUGAAGCAACAA